AGGGCACCACCAGGAGUGGAGCCUGCGGCUUAAUUUGACUCAACACGGGAAAACUCACCCGGCCCGGACACCGUAAGGAUUGACAGACUGAAAGCUCUUUCUUAAUUCGGUGGGUGGUGGUGCAUGGCCGUUCUUAGUUGGUGGAGCGAUUUGUCUGGUUAAUUCCGAUAACGAACGAGACUCUGGCCUACUAAAUAGACGGUAAAUCCUAAAGUAUACCGCGCUUCUUAAAGGGACAAGCGGGGUCUAGCCCCAUGAAAUAAAGCAAUAACAGGCCUGUGAGGCCCUUAAAGGCCCGGGGCUGCCCGCGCGCUACACUGAAAGAAUCAGUGGGCGAUGCUUGUGGUCCGGAAGGACUGGACAACCCAAGAAUAUUCUUUCGUGCUUGGAAUAGGGAAUUGCUAUUAUUUCCCUUAAACGAGGAAUUCCCAGUAAAUGCGGGUCAUAAGCUCGCGUUGAUUACGUCCCUGCCCUUUGUACACACCGCCCGUCGCUACUACCGAUUGGAUGACUUAGUGA
rnacentral:rRNA from 1 species